UACGUAGGGGGCGAGCGUUGUCCGAAUUUACUGGGCGUAAAGCGCGCGUAGGCGGUUUCUUAAGUCUGGGGUGAAAGGUUCAACGCUCAACGUGAACAGUGCCUUGGAUACUGGGAGACUUGAGUCUGGGAGGGGGUAGUGGAAUUCCUGGUGUAGCGGUGAAAUGCGUAGAUAUCUGGAGGAACACCGGUGGCGAAGGCGGCAUCCUGGACCAACACUGACACUGAGGAGCGAAAGCCAGGGGAGCAAACGGG
rnacentral:rRNA from 1 species